rnacentral:ncRNA from 1 species
GGCGAAUCCAUUGGCUGCCGAGCCGCCCGGUUACCGCCGGGUGGGGAGGGCGCCGAAAAGAGGAGCCG